rnacentral:rRNA from 1 species
UGGGGAAUAUUGCACAAUGGACGAAAGUCUGAUGCAGCAACGCCGCGUGGAGGAUGACACAUUUCGGUGCGUAAACUCCUUUUAUAUGAGAAGAUAAUGACGGUAUUAUAUGAAUAAGCACCGGCUAACUCCGUGCCAGCAGCCGCGGUAAUACGGGGGGUGCAAGCGUUACUCGGAAUCACUGGGCGUAAAGAGCAUGUAGGCGGAUUAAUAAGUUUGAAGUGAAAUCCUAUAGCUUAACUAUAGAACUGCUUUGAAAACUGUUAAUCUAGAAUGUGGGAGAGGUAGAUGGAAUUUCUGGUGUAGGGGUAAAAUCCGUAGAGAUCAGAAGGAAUACCGAUUGCGAAGGCGAUCUACUGGAACAUUAUUGACGCUGAGAUGCGAAAGCGUGGGGAGCAAACAGG